rnacentral:rRNA from 1 species
GAUGAACGCUGGCGGCGUGCCUAAUACAUGCAAGUCGAGCGAACAGACGAGGAGCUUGCUCCUCUGACGUUAGCGGCGGACGGGUGAGUAACACGUGGAUAACCUACCUAUAAGACUGGGAUAACUUCGGGAAACCGGAGCUAAUACCGGAUAAUAUAUUGAACCGCAUGGUUCAAUAGUGAAAGACGGUUUUGCUGUCACUUAUAGAUGGAUCCGCGCCGCAUUAGCUAGUUGGUAAGGUAACGGCUUACCAAGGCGACGAUGCGUAGCCGACCUGAGAGGGUGCUCGGCCACACUGGAACUGAGACACGGUCCAGACUCCUACGGGAGGCAGCAGUGGGGAAUCUUCCGCAAUGGGCGAAAGCCUGACGGAGCAACGCCGCGUGAGUGAUGAAGGUCUUCGGAUCGUAAAACUCUGUUAUUAGGGAAGAACAAAUGUGUAAGUAACUAUGCACGUCUUGACGGUACCUAAUCAGAAAGCCACGGCUAACUACGUG